UGGUAAGCUUAUGCUCUUCGAUUUGUUUUUUUGUCUGCUUUCAUAAAGCUUGGAUAUUGUGUUUACAUGCUAACGAGGUUUUCCCCAUGUGGCCAAUGCUACUAGUUGUCUAAAGCUUAUGUUAUUCUAAGGCUCACCAUGUCUAAGUUUUCAGAUGCUUGGAGCAGGGAUGGAGUUCUUUUCAUCUAAGGUUGCCAUUCACAGGCACCUUGUUCCCUUUUGAUGCAUGACCAAGGGGCAGUGCAGGUGGGAUUAGGAAUAUUAAGAAGUUAUCUUUACAAGGACAAUUUGUUGCUAGUUGAGAGGGAUCUUCUCUUAGUUUACUUAAUAUUGCUCUUUUAAUUUCACGAAUGGGCACACAUUUUUGUGGAUUGGUAUGUUUGAAGCUUUGAUUGUAUCACGGCUCUAGCUUAUUUUUUAUCCAGAAUUGUGAAUUCUACAUUUUAAUGGGCUCUUUGUUGCUUUUGGUGCUUUCUAUCUUUUUGCAGCCACCAACGGAAAAGGUACAUCAGAUAAUUGCAAGGACUGCACUGUUUGUGAGCAAACAUGGUGGGCAGUCAGAAAUUGUUCUGAGGGUAAAGCAGGGAGAUAAUCCAACAGAUCUUUUUGCAGCCACCAAUGGAAAAGGUACAUCAGAUAAUUGCAAGGACUGCACUGUUUGUGAGCAAACAUGGUGGGCAGUCAGAAAUUGUUCUGAGGGUAAAGCAGGGAGAUAAUCCAACAUUUGGGUUCU
rnacentral:lncRNA from 1 species